AAGCAACGCGAAGAACUUACCAGGCCUUGACAUGCAGAGAACUUUCCAGAGAUGGAUUGGUGCCUUCGGGAACUCUGACACAGGUGCUGCAUAGCUGUCGUCAGCUCGUGUCGUGAGAUGUUGGGUUAAGUCCCGUAACGAGCGCAACCCUUGUCCUUAGUUACCAGCACGUUAUGGUGGGCACUCUAAGGAGACUGCCGGUGACAAACCGGAGGAAGGUGGGGAUGACGUCAAGUCAUCAUGGCCCUUACGGCCUGGGCUACACACGUGCUACAAUGGUCGGUACAAAGGGUUGCCAAGCCGCGAGGUGGAGCUAAUCCCAUAAAACCGAUCGUAGUCCGGAUCGCAGUCUGCAACUCGACUGCGUGAAGUCGGAAUCGCUAGUAAUCGUGAAUCAGAAUGUCACGGUGAAUACGUUCCCGGGCCUU
rnacentral:rRNA from 1 species